UUAAUGUGUUUCAACCUGAAAAUUUGCACACAUGUACAUUAUGUAUCUAGGUAUAUGUGUGUUUAUUUUCAGAAUUUUUUGAAACUGAAAAGUUUGAAUUUUGAAGUUAUUGAAUAAAGACGUCCAUGGAGCUCGGUCUCCAUUUGUCAUUUUUGGGUCUGAAGCUAUCAUAAUUGUACUAUUUUAAGAUGACUACAAAUUGCCGGAAUUAAUAUAUGUCACAACCCGCUGAUCAUGAACAUCAAGCAACUCCUACCCAUGUCCUAAACAUGGAUAUUACAAAGAAAGGUACGACAUGGUAACCAACACGGGCAACAAGAUAGUAUAAUCCUUCAACAUAAGUAAAACAUAAGAUAGGGAAUUCAUGAUGCUUGCCUUCCUGGUCAACGUCCUGGUGAAGCUACGGAUCGAACUCGUAAUACCCCUCAUUACUGGACUCUAUUGAAACGAUCAAGAAACCCUGGAAAAGAACCAAACGGAGGAAAAUCAAUAUUCAUGAAUUUCCAGAAUGUGUACAGUGCAUGAAUUGUAUGCGAUGUCAUCCAGAAAGUUGAAAAUGAAGCUACUGAAAUUGGGAAUAACAUUUUCUUAGAGUCCUAGAAUGCAAGUUAUGAAUUUUUAAAGAUUUAAAGACAUUUUGUUAAAGUGCAUCUUCCUUUAUUUCUAAGCAACAAUACUUACUAAGCUUAUAUAUGUCUGUUCCUUAGAAAGGGGAUAUGGAGUAGUACAAGAAAGGGGAUCCAGGAGCAACCAACACAUAUAAGCUUAGUACUACUCCAAACCAAACUAGAGUGAUUUUGUUAUGUAUUUUACAAGUUCAACUCUGAGAUCUUACACUGAUACCCUGUGUAAUACGAGUUGACAAAUCAUGCAUCACACCUUGUUUAGAAUUUGUUUUUUUCCAAAAUAAGUUUUUCAACUGAUAAUGCUAUAUUAGUUCUUCAUAGAUGAACAAAAAGUAAAAACAUAUAUGUUCUUUCGAGCAUUAACAAUCAAGUUGUUUCAUACUAUGUGGUUUAUAGUCUCAUUCUCAUCUCUUAUAUUUUUGAUUAAUUAAGCAGGGUGUGUUCUCUGGCUUCUUUAAUGAAGGCCAAUUUAUUCUCAUCUAAUAUUAUGUAUGUAUAUGUGUGCUCUCAGUGAUGGAUAGUUUGGUGAUAUCGUGCCUGUAUCCAGAUGAUGCACUCUCAUAUUAGCUGCAAUCAGAUUUUUUUAACUGUCCAUAUAAUCUCUGGCAGAUCUGCAAUCACCAAGGUACUCACAGAAAUAUCUAUCUACGUACUAUCUAACUGAUCAUGCUGGAGUGGAGCUGCUGCUUUCAUACUUUAGCUUAUUUACAUACUUUCUGAUUCAAAGGUCCGCUGUUUGUUUUAUCUGCUACUUUGUCUUUCUAAACUGGUGAUGAUCAAUGCUGAAAAUACUUUAUGAGUCUGUAUACAUAUUGCAAGUCAACGGGUUGAGCAUUUUUAUGUGAUUUUCUGUCUGACUGUGUGACAAGCAAGUAAAUUAAACAAUGUGGAAUAUGACCGUGUUUUUUCAUAGCAAAUCAAUCUCUCUUUCUAUGAUCUACAGGCAGGUCAUAGCUAACAUCAUCAAGCAUCAACAACAAGCAACAAGCAGCCAGCAGCAAAGAAGGGACAGGAGCAAAGCAGCCAGCAGCAAAGAAGGGACAUAUGCAAAGCAACCAGUGGCAGCAAACAGCAAACAACAUCAGCAGCCAGAAACAUGCAGAGGCGAUUUCUCACCAUGUUGUUAGUGGCAAGGUCGGACGGAGCAGAGCAACGAGCUCGGACAGCGACAAUGACGGUCAACGUCAGGGAAGAAGUAGGAGGGACCCGCGGCUUCGAGUCCAUGGUCCAGAGGAGAUGCGGAUAACACGGAGCCCGUCACGGUCCCUGGAGUUGUUUGGUGAGGAGGAUAACCGCGGCGCCGCAGUGGCGGCCGACGGAACCGACGAAGAUGGCCUCGGUCCAAGAGGCUGCUGCACGUCGGUGCCCGGAAUCACCAUUAAAGGAACAGCAGGAGUAACAAUGGAGCUAGGGGAACUACCUAGGAGCAAGAACGCACCGGAAAACAAGGUGGUUCACGGCGGCGUCCAGCGGGCGUGCAUGUCAGAGCCGGAGGCAUGGACGUCGAUCCGAACUGAGGGCUAGCGUAUCCCGCCGAUUCCUGCGGCUGGUGUUGCAAUGGCGACCGACGCCCUGAGCGAGCUAGACGAGAAAGGGG
rnacentral:lncRNA from 1 species